AUUGAACGCUGGCGGCAGGCCUAACACAUGCAAGUCGAGCGGAUGAAGGGAGCUUGCUCCUGGAUUCAGCGGCGGACGGGUGAGUAAUGCCUAGGAAUCUGCCUGGUAGUGGGGGAUAACGUCCGGAAACGGGCGCUAAUACCGCAUACGUCCUGAGGGAGAAAGUGGGGGAUCUUCGGACCUCACGCUAUCAGAUGAGCCUAGGUCGGAUUAGCUAGUUGGUGGGGUAAAGGCCUACCAAGGCGACGAUCCGUAACUGAUCUGAGAGGAUGAUCAGUCACACUGGAACUGAGACACGGUCCAGACUCCUACGGGAGGCAGCAGUGGGGAAUAUUGGACAAUGGGCGAAAGCCUGAUCCAGCCAUGCCGCGUGUGUGAAGAAGGUCUUCAGAUUGUAAAGCACUUUAAGUUGGGAGGAAGGGCAGUAAGUUAAUACCUUGCUGUUUUGACGUUACCAACAGAAUAAGCACCGGCUAACUUCGUG
rnacentral:rRNA from 1 species